CUCUACACAUGCCUUGAAUGCAAACAGUGCAUGUCCUCCUUGUGAGGGACAAGGAGUUAAUGAUUCUGUAGAAGACGGCACAUCUAAAGAAAGACCAGGUAUUCCAUAAGACUCGCUGGCUGGGAGGCACUUCAAGGCUAAGGGCUGAAAUCGGGAAUAUCUUCACACAUAUGGCUGGCAUUGGGACUUUUCACCAGAAUACCUCCAGGAAGCCCUUCCCCAUGGUCCAUUCUUCACAGCAUGGAGGCCUCGAGAGAGAGCAAGCACGAGCAGGGGAGGAGCAGAGAGAGGCGGGGAGAGAGAG